AUUGAACGCUGGCGGCACGCCUAACACAUGCAAGUCGGGCGGCAGCACGAGGGGUGUACCCCUCUGGAUGGCGAGUGGCGGGCGUGAGAGUAACGCGUAUGCAUCUGCCUAUUGGAUGGGGUUAAGCCGCGGAAACUCGGCGUACUACCGCAUACGCUCUGAGGAGGAAGGGUUUGCAGCUGUAAACGGCUCAAUCGCUACUAGAUGAACCUGCGUUGGAUUAGCUAGUUGGUAGGGUAAAGGCCUACCAAGGCGAUGAUCUAUAGCUGGUCUGAGAGGAUGACCAGCCACACUGGAACUGAGAUACGGACCAGACUCCUACGGGAGGCAGCAGUGGGGAAUAUUGGACAAUGGGGGAAACCCUGAUCCAGCGAUGCCGCGUGUGUGAAGAAGGCCUGAGGGUUGUAAAGCACUUUAGUUGGUGAGGAAAGGGGAUGCGUUAAUAGCGCGUUCAAGUGACGUUAGCAAAAGAAUAAGCACCGGCAAACUCUGUG
rnacentral:rRNA from 1 species